GAUGAACGCUGGCGGCGUGCCUAAUACAUGCAAGUCGAGCGAACAGACGAGGAGCUUGCUCCUCUGACGUUAGCGGCGGACGGGUGAGUAACACGUGGAUAACCUACCUAUAAGACUGGGAUAACUUCGGGAAACCGGAGCUAAUACCGGAUAAUAUAUUGAACCGCAUGGUUCAAUAGUGAAAGACGGUUUUGCUGUCACUUAUAGAUGGAUCCGCGCCGCAUUAGCUAGUUGGUAAGGUAACGGCUUACCAAGGCGACGAUGCGUAGCCGACCUGAGAGGGUGAUCGGCCACACUGGAACUGAGACGCGGUCCAGACUCCUACGGGAGGCAGCAGUAGGGAAUCUUCCGCAAUGGGCGAAAGCCUGACGGAGCAACGCCGCGUGAGUGAUGAAGGUCCUCGGAUCGUAAAACUCUGUUAUUAGGGAAGAACAAAUGUGUAAGUAACUAUGCACGUCUUGACGGUACCUAAUCAGAAAGCCACGGCUAACUACGUG
rnacentral:rRNA from 1 species